rnacentral:rRNA from 1 species
GACGAACGCUGGCGGCGUGCCUAAUACAUGCAAGUAGAACGCACAGUUUAUACCGUAGCUUGCUACACCAUACACUGUGAGUUGCGAACGGGUGAGUAACGCGUAGGUAACCUGCCUGGUAGCGGGGGAUAACUAUUGGAAACGAUAGCUAAUACCGCAUAAUAUUGAUUAUUGCAUGAUAAUUGAUUGAAAGAUGCUAUUGCAUCACUACCAGAUGGACCUGCGUUGUAUUAGCUAGUAGGUGAGGUAACGGCUCACCUAGGCGACGAUACAUAGCCGACCUGAGAGGGUGAUCGGCCACACUGGGACUGAGACACGGCCCAGACUCCUACGGGAGGCAGCAGUAGGGAAUCUUCGGCAAUGGACGAAAGUCUGACCGAGCAACGCCGCGUGAGUGAAGAAGGUUUUCGGAUCGUAAAGCUCUGUUGUAAGAGAAGAACGGGUGUGAGAGUGGAAAGUUCACACUGUGAUGGUAUCUUACCAGAAAGGGACGGCUAACUACGUG